GACGAACGCUGGCGGCGUGGAUUAGGCAUGCAAGUCGAACGGUAUCAUCCUUUCGGGGGUGAGAGAGUGGCGAACUGGUGAGUAACACGUAGGUUAUCUACCCUCAAGACGGGGACAACCCAGGGAAACUUGGGCUAAUACCGGAUGUGAGCAACUUUUAGUUGUUUGAAAGGUGGCGUAAGCUGUCGCUUGGGGAUGAGCCUGCGUCCUAUUAGUUAGUUGGUGAGGUAACGGCUCACCUAGGCAAUGAUAGGUAGGCGGCCUUAACGGGUGGUCGCCCACACUGGGAUUGAGAUACGGCCCAGACUCCUACGGGAGGCAGCAGUCGAGAAUAGUCUACAAUGGUCGGAAGACUGAUAGUGCGACGCCGCGUGAACGAUGAAUCCCUUCGGGGUGUAAAGUUCUUUUAUAUGUGAGCAGUGCUUCUUAUAUUAACAGUAUGGGGAGAGAGAUAUUAGCAUAUGAAUAAGCAACGGCUAACUCCGUGCCAGCAGCCGGGUAA
rnacentral:rRNA from 1 species